rnacentral:misc_RNA from 1 species
GUGAAUCAUCGAAUUUUUGAACGCAAAUUGCACUCUCUUCGGAGAGUAUGCCUGUUUGAGGGUCAGCCUAAAAAAAAAUCGACAUAAUCGCUGUUUCGCGGUGACAUUCGUCGGAAAUUGGGUCAUCUUUAACCUUUUGGUUUUAAGCCGCUUAAAAUUUUCUUUACGAUUUCACGAACGUUUCUAAAAUUUACUUCUUUCACGUUUAAGGCAAUUCAUCUUUUUUAUA